rnacentral:misc_RNA from 1 species
CGAAAUGCGAUAAGUAAUGUGAAUUGCAGAAUUCAGUGAAUCAUCGAAUCUUUGAACGCACCUUGCGCUCCUUGGUAUUCCUUGGAGCAUGCCUGUUUGAGUAUCAUGAAAUCUUCAAAGUAAAUCUUUUGUUAACUCAAUUGGUUUCUACUUUGGCAUUGGAGGUCUUUGCAGCUUCACACCUGCUCCUCUUUGUUCAUUAGCUGGAUCUCAGUGUUAUGCUUGGUUCCACUCGGCGUGAUAAGUUAUCUAUCGCUGAGGACACUGUAAAAGGUGGCCAAGGUAAAUGCAGAUGAACCGCUUCUAAUAGUCCAUUGACUUGGACAAUACUUUUAUGAUCUGAUCUCAAAUCAGGUAGGACUACCCGCUGAACUUAAGC